AAUACUGAAUACAAUUGUAGGUAUAAAUACGUUCCUUUCGCCUAUUCACAUCACUUAGUUUCUGUUUGAAAUCAAGUUAACAUUUCAAGAAAAUGAAAUUCACCAUCUUUGUAUUGAUCUUGAGCGUCCUCGCCAUUGCUUUUGCUAAUCCAAGCAAAUACUCUGGCGCCAAUGACGGAUCUAGCAAACAUGAGGGUCAUCUGGGUGAAAGCGAAGGAGUGUUCAUUGGAAAUCAAGGACACAGUCAACAGGGAGGUGAAACCCACGGAACGUUGUCCGGUGUAGGUAACAGCCAAUAAUUCAAGGUAUUUGAGAUGUUGAACUUAAUGAAUUGAAUAAAAAUUAUAAAAAAAAUA